AGUAGUAGAUAUUUUCUUUAAACCUAAAGAAUUUGGCGGUAUUUUAGUCUAUUCAGAGGAACCUGUUCUAUAAUCGAUAGUCCACGUUAUAUCUUGCUUUAAUUUUGUUUACAGUAUGUAUACCGCCGUUAUAAGUUUAUUUUAUUAGAAUUAUUAAUUUACUUAAAAUAGAAUUUUAUCAUAUUUCAGGUCAAGGUGCAGCUUAUAAUAAAGUAGUUAUGGGUUACAAUAUUUUUUAAGUAAAUGGAUAUAAUUAUUAAAAGAUUAUUGAAGGUGGAUUUGAUAGUAAAUUAUUUAAUAACAAUUAUUUGAUUNUAGCUCUAAAAUAAGCACACAUCGCCCGUCGCUCU
rnacentral:rRNA from 1 species